AAAAGGUUGGUUAAUAGUAUGGGUAACGAAGGAGAGUUGAAUAAAUUAUAAAUAAAUAAAAGUACAGUUGGAGUCUGGUACCUUUUGCAUAAUGGCUGUGUAAGAGUGUGUUUAGAUUAUGGUUCCCGAAGCAAAUUGAUUUAUUUAAAUACUAAACAAGUUCAUCGUUUUAUAGCUGUCUUAAGAUAUUUAAAUGGAAGUGAAAUGUUAUUCGGAUUUUGUGAUAGCUGGUUAAUUCAAAAAUGUAUAUAAGUACAGCUUUUAAGGUUAUAUAAGUUAGGAAAAAAUAAAGUUGUUUCAAACUUAGGCUUAAGGAGUGAGGUUUUUGGCGAUAAGGUCGAAAAGAGGAUAAUAGAUUUAAAGGUUAAAUAUUUAACUUUCGAAUAGGGAUUGUGGUGCCCAUUUUUAAAAGGUUUUGAUAAACUGUGAGUUAGAGGUUUUGUGAAUUAAUUGGGAUAAAUCUUUAAAAGAAAUGAAUUUUAAGUUAAGGAAUUAGAAAUUAAUUGAGAGACUGCACAGAUGAGUAGAAAAAUGAGUUUAGAAAGCUUUAGAGUAAAAAUUUUUAAUUUUUUGGGGCUAUAAAGGAUUAAUAUGGUUUAGUUGUAAUGGAAAAAAGGAACUCGGCAAAAUAGGGUGUCGCCUGUUUAACAAAAACACCGCCAGCAGUAAGUGAUUGUUGGUAGUACCUGCUCAGUGCCCUGAAUAAGGGUAAACAGCCGCUGUAUUUUGACGGUGCUAAGGUAGCGAAAUUCCUAGCCUUUUAAUUGGAGGCCUGCAUGAAUGGUUUGACGAGCGCUCAACUGUCUCUUUUCCGUGUGUAUUGAAAUUAGCUUCUGUGUGAAAAGACACAGAUGGUUGAGUAAGACGAAAAGACCCUGUGCAACUUUACUAGGUAGGUAGGUUGACUAUUAUAAAGUUUAGCUGGGGCAGCUAGGGAAAAGGUAAAACUUCCCCAUUGAUUGUAUACUGAUAGGUUUUGAUCCAAUUAGUAGAUUGAUCAGUAGAAAAGUUACGCCAGGGAUAACAGCGUUAUCCUUCUGUGGAGGUCUUAUUUGCAGGGGGGAUUGCGACCUCGAUGUUGAAUUAGGGAUAUAGCGGGAAGGCGCAGCGGCUUUUCUUGUAGGUCUGUUCGACCUUUAAAACCCUACAUGAUUUGAGUUCAGAACGGCGUAAGCCAGUUCGGUUUCUAUCUUCUCAAUUUUGGUUUAAAGCAUUCCGGCUUGUACGAAAGGAUCGUGGGGGUGAUAUAGUAAUAUUAAGGAUUAGAAUAACAUCUAAGGAUGAUUUAAAGAUGACGUAACUGGUUUAU
rnacentral:rRNA from 1 species